CCUACGGGUGGCAGCAGUCGAGAAUCAUUCACAAUGGGGGAAACCCUGAUGGUGCGACGCCGCGUGGGGGAAUGAAGGUCUUCGGAUUGUAAACCCCUGUCAUGUGGGAGCAAAUUAAAAAGAUAGUACCACAAGAGGAAGAGACGGCUAACUCUGUGCCAGCAGCCGCGGUAAUACAGAGGUCUCAAGCGUUGUUCGGAAUCACUGGGCGUAAAGCGUGCGUAGGCUGUUUGGUAAGUCGGGUGUGAAAGGCGCGGGCUCAACCCGCGGACGGCACAUGAUACUGCGAGACUAGAGUAGUGGAGGGGGAAGCGGAAUUCGCGGUGUAGCAGUGAAAUGCUUAGAUAUCGCGAGGAACACUCGUGGCGAAGGCGGGUUCCUGGACAGUAACUGACGCUGAGGCACGAAGGCCAGGGGAGCGAAAGGGAUUAGAUACCCUUGUAGUC
rnacentral:rRNA from 1 species